rnacentral:rRNA from 1 species
GGGGGGGGGGGGGGGGGGGGGGAGGGGGGGGGGGGGGGGGGGGGGGGGGGGGCGGGGGGCGGGGGGGGGCGGCGGGGGGGGGGGUGAGGCGGGGGAGUCUGGGGGGGCGGGGGGGAGAAGGUCGGGGGCCGGGCGCUAAUACCGGGUAGGUCCUGGGGGGGGAAGUGGGGGGGCUUCGGGCAGCCCGCUAUCAGAUGAUACGAGGUCGGAGUCGCUAGGUGGUGGGGUAGAGGCCCACCAAGGCGACGAUCCGUAACUGGUCUGAGAGGAGGAUCGGUCACACUGGAACUGAGACACGGUCCAGACGCCUACGGGAGGCAGCAGUGGGGAAUAUUGGACAAUGGGCGAAAGCCUGAUCCAGCCAUGCCGCGGGUGUGAAGAAGGUCUGCGGAUGGUAAAGCACUUUAAGUGGGGAGGAAGGGCAGUAAGUUAAUACCUUGCUGUUGUGACGUUACCAACAGAAUAAGCACCGGCUAACUUCGUG